rnacentral:rRNA from 1 species
GACGAACGCUGGCGGCGUGCUUAACACAUGCAAGUCGAACGGAAAGGCCCCUUUGGGGGUACUCGAGUGGCGAACGGGUGAGUAACACGUGAGUAACCUGCCCUUGACUUCGGGAUAACUUCAGGAAACUGGGGCUAAUACCGGAUAGGAAUCCUUGCUGCAUGGUGGGGGUUGGAAAGCUUCGGCGGUUUUGGAUGGACUCGCGGCUUAUCAGCUUGUUGGUGGGGUAGUGGCUUACCAAGGCUUUGACGGGUAGCCGGCCUGAGGGGGCGACCGGCCACAUUGGGACUGAGAUACGGCCCAGACUCCUACGGGAGGCAGCAGUGGGGAAUAUUGCACAAUGGGCGGGAGCCUGAUGCAGCAACGCCGCGUGCGGGAUGACGGCCUUCGGGUUGUAAACCGCUUUCAGCAGGGGCGAAGCUUGUGGUGACGGUACCUGCAGAAGAAGCACCGGCUAACUACGUG